rnacentral:tRNA from 1 species
GUCCCCAUAGCUCAGUGGAUAGAGCGCAAGAUUGCGGAUCUUGAGGUCGCAGGUUCAAAUCCUGCUGGGGACG